AGAACGAACGCUGGCGGCAGGCCUAACACAUGCAAGUCGAACGAGAAGCCACCUUCGGGUGGUGGAAAGUGGCAGACGGGUGAGUAACGCGUGGGAACGUACCCUUUGGUUCGGAACAACUCCGGGAAACUGGAGCUAAAACCGGAUAAGCCCUACGGGGGAAAGAUUUAUCGCCGAAGGAUCGGCCCGCGUCGGAUUAGCUAGUUGGUGAGGUAACGGCUCACCAAGGCUACGAUCCGUAGCUGGUCUGAGAGGAUGAUCAGCCACACUGGGACUGAGACACGGCCCAGACUCCUACGGGAGGCAGCAGUGGGGAAUAUUGGACAAUGGGCGCAAGCCUGAUCCAGCCACGCCGCGUGAGUGAUGAAGGCCUUAGGGUUGUAAACGCUCUUUCGUCCGAGGACGUAUAAUGACGGUACUGGAUAAGACGCCCCGCUUAACUCGU
rnacentral:rRNA from 1 species